UAACAAGGAUUCCCCUAGUAACUGCGAGUGAAGCGGGAAAAGCUCAAAUUUAAAAUCUGGCGGUCUUUGGCCGUCCGAGUUGUAGUCUGGAGAAGCGUCUUCCGCGUUGGACCGUGUACAAGUCUCUUGGAACAGAGCGUCAUAGAGGGUGAGAAUCCCGUCUUUGACACGGACUACCAAUGCUUUGUGAUGCGCUCUCAAAGAGUCGCGUUGUUUGGGAAUGCAGCGCAAAAUGGGAGGUGAAUUCCUUCUAAAGCUAAAUAUUGGCGAGAGACCGAUAGCGAACAAGUACCGUGAGGGAAAGAUGAAAAGCACUUUGGAAAGAGAGUUAAACAGUACGUGAAAUUGCUAAAAGGGAAACGCUUGAAGUCAGUCGCGUCGUCCGGAACUCAGCCUUGCUUCGGCUUGGUGCAUUUUCCGGUUGACGGGCCAGCAUCGAUUUUGACCGCUGGAAAAGGGUUGGAGGAAUGUGGCACCUUCGGGUGUGUUAUAGCCUUCAGUCGCAUACAGCGGUUGGGAUCGAGGAACGCAGCGCGCCUUAUGGCUGGGGUUCGCCCACAUUCGCGCUUAGGAUGCUGGCAUAAUGGCUUUAAACGAC
rnacentral:rRNA from 1 species